AGAACGAACGCUGGCGGCAGGCCUAACACAUGCAAGUCGAACGCUCGUAGCGAUACGAGAGUGGCAGACGGGUGAGUAACACGUGGGAACCUUCCCUAUGGUUCGGAAUAGCUCAGGGAAACUUGGGGUAAUACCGGAUAAGCCCUUCGGGGGAAAGAUUUAUCGCCAUUGGAUGGGCCCGCGUCGGAUUAGCUAGUUGGUGAGGUAACGGCUCACCAAGGCAACGAUCCGUAGCUGGUCUGAGAGGAUGAUCAGCCACACUGGGACUGAGACACGGCCCAGACUCCUACGGGAGCAGCAGUGGGGAAUAUGGACAAUGGCGCAAGCCUGAUCCAGCCAUGCCGCGUGAGUGACGAAGGUCUUCGGAUUAGUAAACUCUUUAGGCGGGGACGAUAAUGACGGUACCGCAGAAUAAGCCCGCUAACUUCGCGCCAGCACGCCGC
rnacentral:rRNA from 1 species